rnacentral:rRNA from 1 species
UGCAGUCGACGAUGAUGCCCAGCUUGCUGGGCGGAUUAGUGGCGAACGGGUGAGUAAUACGUGAGUAACCUGCCCUUGACUCUGGGAUAAGCCUGGGAAACUGGGUCUAAUACUGGAUACUACCUCUUACCGCAUGGUGGGUGGUGGAAAGGGUUUUACUGGUUUUGGAUGGGCUCACGGCCUAUCAGCUUGUUGGUGGGGUAAUGGCUCACCAAGGCGACGACGGGUAGCCGGCCUGAGAGGGUGACCGGCCACACUGGGACUGAGACACGGCCCAGACUCCUACGGGAGGCAGCAGUGGGGAAUAUUGCACAAUGGGCGGAAGCCUGAUGCAGCGACGCCGCGUGAGGGAUGACGGCCUUCGGGUUGUAAACCUCUUUCAGUAGGGAAGAAGCGAGAGUGACGGUACCUGCAGAAGAAGCGCCGGCUAACUACGUGCCAGCAGCCGCGGUAAUACGUAGGGCGCAAGCGUUGUCCGGAAUUAUUGGGCGUAAAGAGCUCGUAGGCGGUUUGUCGCGUCUGCUGUGAAAGCCCGGGGCUCAACCCCGGGUCUGCAGUGGGUACGGGCAGACUAGAGUGCAGUAGGGGAGACUGGAAUUCCUGGUGUAGCGGUGAAAUGCGCAGAUAUCAGGAGGAACACCGAUGGCGAAGGCAGGUCUCUGGGCUGUUACUGACGCUGAGGAGCGAAAGCAUGGGGAGCGAACAGGAUUAGAUACCCUGGUAGUCCAUGCCGUAAACGUUGGGCACUAGGUGUGGGGGACAUUCCACG